rnacentral:lncRNA from 1 species
UUUGUGUCUCCGGGGAGCGCACGCCACCUCGGGGAAAACGGCGAACCCGAGUUAGACCCGGGAAGAGACACUAGCGUGAGUUUUUAAUAAUCUUUUAAAGCCUCCCGGUGAACCUAGAAACCCAAAAAUUAACUUGAACAGCAAAUGCUCUGGGGUUUAGAGAACGUUUGUCUCUUUGUCUUUUUUCAUUGCCUCUUCCGUGCCAAAAAUAAUCUGUUCGCUGGAGAACACAUCCGGAAGGAGCUGUUUUCCCCUGUUCAUCCAGUGAGAAGAUAUGUUUUCUCUCUAGCAGUUGGAGGUUUUUCUUUUGUAGGAGAGAAGAGCAUCUGUCCUCCAGGCUGGGCUUUGUCUCCGUUUGCCCUGCGACUGCACUAGCGCAGCAAGGCUACAUAAGGAGGCUUUUCAGCAGAGGAGCCUGGUGUUGAACUCGUGCCAUGGGGAAUGAAUUCUUCUAUAGACCCCUCGUCCUCUUCUGGAAGUUAAAGGGGGGCGAUUUGCAAAAAAAAAA